rnacentral:rRNA from 1 species
CAGAGGGUGCGAGCGUUAAUCGGAUUUACUGGGCGUAAAGCGUGCGUAGGCGGCUUUUAAGUCGGAUGUGAAAUCCCCUGAGCUUAACUUAGGAAUUGCAUUCGAUACUGGGAAGCUAGAGUAUGGGAGAGGAUGGUAGAAUUCCAGGUGUAGCGGUGAAAUGCGUAGAGAUCUGGAGGAAUACCGAUGGCGAAGGCAGCCAUCUGGCCUAAUACUGACGCUGAGGUACGAAAGCAUGGGAGCAAACAGGAUU